rnacentral:rRNA from 1 species
GACGAACGCUGGCGGCGUGCUUUACCCAUGCAAGUCGGACGGGCCCGCAAGGGCCAGUGGCAGACGGCUGAGUAACACGUGAGUGACCUGCCCAGAGGUGGGGGAUAGCCAUCCGAAAGGAUGGGUAAUACCGCGUAAGCUCGUUGGGGUAGUACCUGACGAGGAGAGCAGAGAUGCGCCUUUGGAGGGGCUCGCGGCCCAUCAGGUAGUUGGUGGGGUAAUGGCCUACCAAGCUGAUGACGGGUAGCUGGUCUGAGAGGAUGAUCAGCCAGACUGGGACUGGGAGACGGCCCAGACUUCUACGGGGGGCAGCAGGGGGGAAUCUUGGACAAUGGGGGAAACCCUGAUCCAGCGACGCCGCGUGGAGGACGAAGGUCUUCGGAUCGUAAACUCCUUUUGACAGGGAAGAUGAUGACGGUACCUGUCGAAUAAGCCCCGGCUAACUACGUGCCAGCCGCCGCGGUAAAAC